AACAGUUAUGUUCUCGAAAUUUAAAGAAUUUGGCGGCUCUUCAGUCCAGUUAGAGGAACCUGUCCUGUAAACGAUAAACCACGAAUUAUCUUACUUUUUCUUGCUUUUUUCAAUUGGUAUACCGUCAUUAUUAGAUAAUCUUUAAAUAGAUUUGUCUGAAUAGAUUAUUGUUUCUAGAAUAUUAGAUCAGGGUGCCGUCGAUGAAAAAGAAGAGAUGGGUUACAAUGCUACUUAGUAAAUGAAUGAUGAAGUGAAAGUUUCGUUUGAAGGUGGAUUUAAUAGUAGAGGCGUCUAUAGUGAGGACUCUCGAUUAUGGUCCUGAAGAGUGUACACAUCGCCCGUCACUCUCA
rnacentral:rRNA from 1 species